CGUCACGCCCGUGUCCACGGGGCCCUGCGGCUCUAACCCACAGCACGCAGGCGCAUUGAACCCAGCAUGAGGGUAGCGGCCCUGAUCAGUGGUGGGAAGGACAGCUGUUAUAACAUGAUGCAGUGCAUUGCUGCGGGGCAUCAAAUUGUUGCUUUAGCAAAUCUAAGACCAGAUGAAAAGCGAGUGGGGUCCGAUGAACUGGAUAGCUACAUGUAUCAGACAGUGGGUCAUCAUGCCAUUGACCUGUAUGCAGAAGCAAUGGCUCUUCCCCUCUACCGCAGAACCAUAAGAGGAAGGAGCUUGGAUACAGGACGAGUGUAUACCAAAUGUGAAGGUGACGAGGUUGAAGAUCUCUACGAGCUUUUGAAACUUGUUAAGGGCAUCAGCUAGAGUGAUCUUGCUCACUGAAUAUGAUGCUUGGGGCCUCCAACAUUUUCAUAUGCAUUUGGAAGUGGGCAGCCAGGCGAUUGUUUACAGGACUCCAAAUGAACUGUGCUCCCACAGCAAGUUUGAUAAACAUACAUUUCCUCCUUUUAUCAGUGAGAUUGCAGAAUGUGAAGUAUGAGUUUCCAGUUUUGCUCAUUCCUCUCAACCCUCUUCCUGUUUAAAAAUGUAGACAUGCUAAUUGCAUGCUGAUCAGUCCCUGUUUUUCAUUCUGCUUACUGAUAGUUGAUGGUUUAUCCUAAUACUUACCUAAGCAAGGUUUGAAAAAAACUUCAAAAAUAAACUUUCAUGUAUUCAGUUUAAAGGAGAUUAAUCCCAGGUAAUGUAAUGUGAGCACUAAUUAACAGUAAUGACUGCUAAUCACUUUGCUUUUUAUACUCCUUUAGGAGCACUGCUAUUAUCCAAUACAGUUAAGCAAAAUGGUUAUAUAUGAAUCAACAAUGCUGCAUGCAUCCUUUUAGCAGCUAUUGCUCACAAUCAAGCAUUGCAUAAAUUAGAGUUAACGAAAAUUGAUUUUAAUGUGCUGUUUGUAAAAUUGUAAAGUAAAAUAUCUAGUUAAAAUCUUGACUAUCAAAAAGAUAUUAUCUGACUCCUUUUACAGUCAGCUUGUGGUAAGUGAAACAGUACUGCAAAUACAGUUUUACAGCUGAUGACAUUUUGUCUUAGGUUUCUUUGAAAUUGCAUGUGACUCAGACUCACAGCAGCACUUUGAUUCUGCUGUAUGCAUUAAUGAAAAGCAAUAGGCUGAUGUUUAAUUUUUCUGAAUUUGGAUAGUGACUUCCUAGAGGAUCUUACAGAUUUUUAAAAUUACAUAGUCCAUUUAUAUAAACUUGAUUCAUAGGAUUGCACAUUCCACAUUCAUUAAAAGGGGUUGUUUUAUUAUGUGUAGUGCAUUAUUAGACCAUCAUAAAAGCUUUCUGUUUAUUUUCAUGCAUUCAACAUACCUACGAACUGCCUUGCCUCAGGAGGAGUCUAAGCAAAAGCCAUAAAUUAAUAAUUUAAGAGAGCUAUACUCAAGUAGCAUUUUGGUUAGGCUAAUAGGUUAAAGCCUUGGAGUCAGUACCAGCAACUUUAGUGAUGCUUUACUUUUAACUUUUAUUGGCUAAAAAUGACUUGUUAAACUGGAGCUUUUGUACUAAAAUGAAAUGUAUGUACCAUCUAAAUUCCCUUCCCCUCUUUGAUUUUCAAGUAGGUUGACAUACUCUUCAAGAAUUCCUAUCACUUUUAUAGUUCUGCACUUUUGUUUUGGGGAAGCCGCCAAUCUCUCUGGAAGUUAUAGAGUGACAAAAUGCAUUGUAUACUGGCUUUUCUAGGGAAUUUUUGAUUUAAUAUUAGGGGUCUGAGCUUUGUGAUGUUAUCUGUAUUAAUGGUGAUUCUUACUCUGUGGUAUGGUGGUGUGAUUUGAUAUAUGUUAAUGAAGUAUCUUCCAGUCACAUUUUACUUGUUCUGCCUAGUUUCUUGGGCCAUAACGGUAUCAUUCUCAUAGCUAAUGUAUUUUAUUUCCACAGAGGCUCAGUAAUUCAGGACAUUGAAUUUUAAUUGUUCAAAUGAAAUAAUUUGAUUUUCCUUUCAUUGUUGUGUAUUUGUAGUAUCAAAAUUUUUUAAAUUUGGACAAAUAAGCAAGUGGAAAAAAUUAAAAUGGUAGUGUAAUCUGAAGCUUUAUAUUGUAUAUACUAAUGUUAUUGUAUAUAUUGCAAGCAUAUGUAUUAAAUAAACUGCUGGCACUGUAUGUAAUUGAAUUUAGUUUCAAAAAAUUGUAACAGGAAUGAUAUGAGAGAACAAAAAAUAUAAAUAGAAAAUAUAUGGAAUCUUAAUUUAACACUAUCCAUAUGUAAUUACCAGACUUAUAAGUAUUGUGGGUAGCUUAUUUAUUUUAGAUUAUGUACCUUUGUCCAAGAGUUGUUUAUGAGAAAAAGCUUGCUUUUCUAUUAUAUUCUGACUUUCAGUACUCAUAUGUAAUAAAAUGUUU